rnacentral:rRNA from 1 species
GACGAACGCUGGCGGCGUGCCUAAUACAUGCAAGUCGAACGAGAGCGACCGGUGCUUGCACUGGUCAAUCUAGUGGCGAACGGGUGAGUAACACGUGGGUAACCUGCCCAUCAGAGGGGGAUAACAUCCGGAAACGGAUGCUAAAACCGCAUAGGUCUUCGAGCCGCAUGGCUUGAAGAGGAAAAGAGGCGCAAGCUUCUGCUGAUGGAUGGACCCGCGGUGCAUUAGCUAGUUGGUGAGGUAACGGCUCACCAAGGCCGUGAUGCAUAGCCGACCUGAGAGGGUGAUCGGCCACAUUGGGACUGAGACACGGCCCAAACUCCUACGGGAGGCAGCAGUAGGGAAUCUUCCGCAAUGGACGCAAGUCUGACGGAGCAACGCCGCGUGAGUGAAGAAGGUUUUCGGAUCGUAAAACUCUGUUGUUAGAGAAGAACAAGUGCUAGAGUAACUGUUAGCGCCUUGACG